UGGGGAAUAUUGGACAAUGGUCGAAAGCCUGAUCCAGCCAUGCCGCGUGUGUGAAGAAGGUCUUCGGAUUGUAAAGCACUUUAAGAUGGGAGGAAGGGCAUUAACCUAAUACGUUAGUGUUUUGACGUUACCGACAGAAUAAGCACCGGCUAACUCUGUGCCAGCAGCCGCGGUAAUACAGAGGGUGCAAGCGUUAAUCGGAAUUACUGGGCGUAAAGCGCGCGUAGGUGGUUUGUUAAGUUGGAUGUGAAAUCCCCGGGCUCAACCUGGGAACUGCAUUCAAAACUGACUGACUAGAGUAUGGUAGAGGGUGGUGGAAUUUCCUGUGUAGCGGUGAAAUGCGUAGAUAUAGGAAGGAACACCAGUGGCGAAGGCGACCACCUGGACUAAUACUGACACUGAGGUGCGAAAGCGUGGGGAGCAAACA
rnacentral:rRNA from 1 species